rnacentral:lncRNA from 1 species
GACACAUGCAAGGAAAGGAUGCAUGGGCAUCAGCGUGACGUCAACAAAAGUCACCGGACUAUUUUUUUUACUAUUCUCUUCAUUUCGUAAAUGUAAGAAGCAAUACCUUUGACCUAACACCAACUUAUUAAACUUCGACCUAAUCUAUAAAAAAAUAUGACAUUUACGACUCCAAAUUAGUUUUGUUAAAUUCAUCUGAUAUAUAUUUUCAUACUCCGUAUUAUUCUCAUUUCAUAUUUGACAUGUUCAUACAUUUUUCUAUAAAAUUGGUCAAUUUUUUUAAAAUUAACUUAUGACAAAGUUAACACUUCUUAUAUUUAGAAUUGAGGUAGUACCUCCUAGACAAAAUAUAGACUUACUUUUAUAUUUUUAUUUUAUUUUUCAAACAGCAGGAUAAUCCAUGGUUUUUUCAUUGACUCAUGCACACAGCCUUAUAUUAUUAAAGCCAGAAAAAAACAGACAAUACAAUCAAACAAAGUUGACCCCCCCCCCCCCCAAGAAAAAAAUGGUGACCCCACCAAACCACCACUAACCCUAUGGUACAUGCGGAAAACAAAAAAAAACGCAACUCUUAGGCAAAACCUUUAAGAAGAUUCGCAGCAUGUGUGCCGAUGAUGACGAGUCCCACCUAAGAUCGAACUCGGUUUUUUUUCCCUAAAUCUAAGUUUCAAACCACCACCUUCAACAAGAUCACGACACAAGGGCUCGUCGACAUUGCCUGAUCUGGGAUCAAGUGUUCCAAUGGAGUGAGCAGACUUGUCAUCAUAGUUGUCUGUAUCAUCAUCACAUCACCGCCUCCAGACC